rnacentral:tRNA from 1 species
GCCCAGGUGGUGGAACUUGGUAGACACAAGGGACUUAAAAUCCCUCGGCUUUUUAAGCUGUGCGGGUUCAAAUCCCGCCCCGGGCA